rnacentral:rRNA from 1 species
AACGAACGCUGGCGGCAUGCCUAACACAUGCAAGUCGAACGUGAUCCGGGGCUUCGGCUCUGGUGAAAGUGGCGCACGGGUGAGUAACGCGUGGGAACCUGCCUGGUGGCAGGGGAUAACUGCGGGAAACUGCGGCUAAUACCCUAUGAGCCCUGGGGCGAGAGCCUUGGGGGAAAGAUUGAUCGCCAUUGGAGGGGCCCGCGUCGGAUUAGGUGGUUGGUGGGGUAAAGGCCUACCAAGCCUGCGAUCCGUAGCUGGUCUGAGAGGAUGAUCAGCC